CCGCUCUUAGCUCAGUUGGAUAGAGCAACGGCCUUCUAAGCCGUAGGUCGCAGGUUCAAAUCCUGCAGGGCGGACUA
rnacentral:tRNA from 1 species